rnacentral:rRNA from 1 species
AUUGAACGCUGGCGGCAUGCUUUACACAUGCAAGUCGGACGGCAGCACAGAGAAGCUUGCUUCUUGGGUGGCGAGUGGCGAACGGGUGAGUAACAUAUCGGAACGUACCGAGUAAUGGGGGAUAACUAAUCGAAAGAUUAGCUAAUACCGCAUAUUCUCUGAGGAGGAAAGCAGGGGACCUUCGGGCCUUGCGUUAUUCGAGCGGCCGAUAUCUGAUUAGCUAGUUGGUGGGGUAAAGGCCUACCAAGGCGACGAUCAGUAGCGGGUCUGAGAGGAUGAUCCGCCACACUGGGACUGAGACACGGCCCAGACUCCUACGGGAGGCAGCAGUGGGGAAUUUUGGACAAUGGGCGCAAGCCUGAUCCAGCCAUGCCGCGUGUCUGAAGAAGGCCUUCGGGUUGUAAAGGACUUUUGUCAGGGAAGAAAAGGCUGUUGCUAAUAUCGACAGCUGAUGACG